GACACGAACAAUCUUGUCCAUCCUGGUGAUUUUUGUGUGUCUUGCACAUACGCUGGCCUCCAGACCUCAAUUACUGGCUGACCUCCAGAAGGGGAAUCAAGCUUUGGAAUUGUACUAUCCCCCUAAGGAACCUGGCAGGAAAGUUCUAAUGCCCAACGGAGCUGCUUUAGAGACUACUUGUGGGGACUAUGAGGAGUCUACAUUUCUACUAGUAAAAAUCUACGUGCCCCUGUUAUUGAGUGUUGAGGUCAGAUGGGAGCAA